rnacentral:rRNA from 1 species
UGGGGAAUAUUGGACAAUGGGCGAAAGCCUGAUCCAGCCAUGCCGCGUGUGUGAAGAAGGUCUUCGGAUUGUAAAGCACUUUAAGUUGGGAGGAAGGGCAGUAAGCGAAUACCUUGCUGUUUUGACGUUACCGACAGAAUAAGCACCGGCUAACUCUGUGCCAGCAGCCGCGGUAAUACAGAGGGUGCAAGCGUUAAUCGGAAUUACUGGGCGUAGAGCGCGCGUAGGUGGUUCGUUAAGUUGAAUGUGAAAGCCCCGGGCUCAACCUGGGAACUGCAUCCAAAACUGGCGAGCUAGAGUAGGGCAGAGGGUGGUGGAAUUUCCUGUGUAGCGGUGAAAUGCGUAGAUAUAGGAAGGAACACCAGUGGCGAAGGCGACCACCUGGGAUCAUACUGACACUGAGGUGCGAAAGCGUGGGGAGCAAACAGG